UACGUAGGGGGCUAGCGUUGUCCGGAUUUAUUGGGCGUAAAGCGUGCGCAGGCGGCUUCUCAAGUCAGGGGUGAAAGCCCAGAGCUCAACUCUGGAAUUGCCUUUGAGACUGAGUGGCUUGAGUACGAGAGAGGUGAGUGGAAUUCCCAGUGUAGAGGUGAAAUUCGUAGAUAUUGGGAAGAACACCGGUGGCGAAGGCGGCUCACUGGCUCGUAACUGACGCUCAUGCACGACAGCGUGGGGAUCAAACAGG
rnacentral:rRNA from 1 species